CCUACGGGGGGCUGCAGUGAGGAAUAUUGGUCAAUGGACGAAAGUCUGAACCAGCCAAGUAGCGUGAAGGAUGACUGCCCUAUGGGUUGUAAACUUCUUUUAUAAAGGAAUAAAACGAGGCACGUGUGCCUUUUUGCAUGUACUUUAUGAAUAAGGAUCGGCUAACUCCGUGCCAGCAGCCGCGGUAAUACGGAGGAUCCGAGCGUUAUCCGGAUUUAUUGGGUUUAAAGGGAGCGUAGAUGGGUUGUUAAGUCAGUUGUGAAAGUUUGCGGCUCAAACGUAAAAUUGCAAUUGAUACUGGCAGUCUAGAGUACAGUUGAGGUAGGCGGAAUUCGUGGUGUAGCGGUGAAAUGCUUAGAUAUCACGAAGAACCCCGAUUGCGAAGGCAGCUUACUAAGCUGUGACUGACAUUGAUGCUCGAAAGUGUGGGUAUCAAACAGGAUUAGAUACCCCAGUAGUC
rnacentral:rRNA from 1 species